rnacentral:lncRNA from 1 species
CCAGGAAGUCCCUGGCGAAUUCUUUUGAAGCACAACCCCUACAAUCCGUGUGCCGGAGCAUAAAGAUUGAAGUGUGCGCGGUUCCUCCUCCCUCCGGGCCGCGCGUCCGGAACGUUCCUGGCUGUCAGCGCUGUGCUAGCAGGAAGGUCUGUGAAGUUUGCAAUAAAGCCAUUAUGAAGUCAAGAAUGGAGGUUCCAUUUUUAAAGAACUCAGAGGGGGUAGAUCUUGAUUGACAUCUCAUCUGGGGUCACCUGGUCUUCAACUGAGAGAUCUUUUGGUUCGCCACGGAUGCCCCUUGCAGUUAUGGAAGUUCACUCUUUGAGAGAGAGAUAAAUAAACAUUAAAAUGUAAAGAAAAAAAAAAUCAGCAAUGGAAGGAAAAAGGAACAAAAAGCAAUCCAUUGGCGUCAAGCUUGACUGGACCACUCCACUGCUCUGCUGCCGUUAGUGAACCUGACCCUGCAGCAGGAGUCACAGACUCACCACUCACCUCAAGUCCUCACUCCCUGGACCCUCAAUCUACACAUCACUUUGUCUUUUAUUUCCCUGAGAAAUACAGGCCAUCAGUUUGCAGAUCCCUCCUUUCCCCUUACCCUGCAAAUCUCCAUCUAUUUGGAAAAGUGUGCCUCCUACAUUCCAAAGCUAACCCCUCCUCCUCUGCCACUAAUAUCAGCCCUACCUGCCUUCUUCUGUAACUUGCUCCAUUAAUUCCCUCCCCUCUCCCCCAGGUCUCCCUGCCUAUGAACAUAUUCAAGGACAUCAUAUCUUAAAAACAAACAAAUAUCAGGCACAAUGGCUCACACCUGUAAUCCCAGCACUUUGAGAGGUCAAGGCAGGAGAAUCACUUGAAUCCAGGGGUUCAAGACCAGCCUGGGAAACAUAGGGAGACCCUAUCUCUACAAAAAAUAUUUUUUAAAAAAAUUAGCCAGGUGUGGUGGUGUGCACCUGUAGUCCCAACUACUCAGAAGGCUGGGGUGGGAGAAAUAUUUCAGCCCAGGACGUCACUGUGCACAAUUGCUUUACUUUUUUUUCCCUUGGUAUAGACUUGUUGAAGAGUAAGCCUUCAUGUACUGUUUCCUCACUUUACAUUCACUCUCAACUGGAGACAAUAUAGAGUCUUCGCAGAUGCAGCUUUCUCCAGACCAACAAUGUGGUUAGACAUCUGGUUUUUCAUUGUUGUUGUUUGAUUUCUCUGACUAGCUUCCCUGACCAGAGGUCGUUUUGAGUUUCCUUCUCUGGAAUUUGACCACUGAGCAGAGACACAUAGGAGAGAAGACGUGAAUGCUGAGUCAUCAAUCAGCAUCACUGGGAAGAAAAAGCCUCUCAGUUUCUUCUGCUGGGACUCCCAGAGCUGGAGUAUUUUCUGCUCUUCCUAAGGCCUGGUAAUUCAGCUCUUUGUGAGACUGUGAGCUUUACCAUACCCUUCCAGUAGCAACCUUCUUCUUUUUUAAGUUCAUUGCGGGGAAUAGGGAGUGAUGGCUGAUGGACAUAGGGUUUCUUUUUGGGGUGACAAAAAUCUUCUAAAAUUAAGUGGUGGUGAUGGUUGCACAAUUUUGAAUAUACUAAAAACCGUGAAUUCUAAAGUUUAAACAGGUGAAUUCUGUGCUAUAUAAAUUGUAUCUCAAUGAAAUUACUAAUAUUCUAAAGCCUCCCAAGUGACUUAGAUGUUCGGUGAGUGUUGAAAGCCAGUUAUUUAUCACAUCCUUAAGUCCUGCUACCUUUCUCUCACUCUCUAAGUUCAGUUUCCUCUUUGGUUUGACUUGGACCAAUCUGCAACAACUCUUGAUGUUUCUUGUAAAUUCUAUGACUAACUCCCAGAGCUUCUCCUGUCUAUCUGAUACGCAUUUAGCUUCUCCUUUCAGGCCUCAAACAGCAUGUUUAGAACAGAACUGAUCUUCUUCUCCCCAACCUGCUUUACCUUUUCUAUUUCUCACUCAGUUACUGGCACAAACUUCUCCAUAUAUGUUUAAGAAGACCUCUACUUUGACUUUCCCUGCUCCUUCUAACUUACAUCCAAUUAAUCAAAACGUUGUAUCAGUUUUAUUUCUGAAACAAUCUCUCCCAUCUUCCUUAUCUCUUCAUUCCACUGCCAGGUCUGAGUCCACCCUUUACUAUUUUCUGUUGGAUUAAGGCAAACCUCCUGUAAAGAGCUGCCCUGUCUCCUGCAGUCUCAUCCUCCAGUACCCCUUCAUGCCUACACUGAAGUCCUCUUCCUAAAACAGGAAUAGGGUUAACUCACUCACCUCCCCUAAACCUGUUAGUGGCUCUGCACUGAGUACUGGAUCAAGUCUAAUGUAAUGAGAAGGCCCAUUCAAUCUGGGCCAAACUUUCCUUCUUAGCCUAGUGUCCUCCUAUGCCCCCUGCACAGACCUUAGCUCCAAUCACACUAACCCAUGCCAUUACCUGGACACACUGUGCUAGUCUACACUCACGUGCCCCCAGCUCACAUCUCCCCUUUUCCUGGAAUGCCAUGUCCAUAUGGCCUGGAGAAUGACCUAAAGUUAGUGCCAGCAGAGAGCUUAUCAGUAGUGGGGCAGAUCACAGGGGAGAGCAGGUUUUGGAGCUAGGGUGAGGUGUCAAUGAGAAGAAGGGUGAUUUAUUAAGAAGUAAGCUCAUUUCAAGCCAUACACCUGAAACCUGACGCCCAAAGAGGAGGCAGAGACCCAAUCAACUACUGAUACAGUUUGUGAGGCUGGAGACUUGAGAGAACAAUAGGUUGAGGCAAGUGUAACCAAUGGAUUAAUUCCUUACCAAUCUAGGAUUCCUGGAGCGUGGAGUGCUCCAGGCCUGGUGGCACCAAGACUUUAAAAAGAAAAACCAUUACACAGUGAGAUUUGGUCUCUACACAAAAUUUAAAAAUUAGUGUGGUGUGGUCGCACACAACUGUAGUAACAGCUACUCAGGAGGCUGAGGUGGGAGGAUCGCUUGAGCCCAGGAGUUU